GAUGAACGCUGGCGGCGUGCCUAAUACAUGCAAGUCGAGCGAAUGGAUUAAGAGCUUGCUCUUAUGAAGUUAGCGGCGGACGGGUGAGUAACACGUGGGUAACCUGCCCAUAAGACUGGGAUAACUCCGGGAAACCGGGGCUAAUACCGGAUAACAUUUUGAACCGCAUGGUUCGAAAUUGAAAGGCGGCUUCGGCUGUCACUUAUGGAUGGACCCGCGUCGCAUUAGCUAGUUGGUGAGGUAACGGCUCACCAAGGCAACGAUGCGUAGACGACCUGAGAGGGUGAUCGGCCACACUGGGACUGAGACACGGCCCAGACUCCUACGGGAGGCAGCAGUAGGGAAUCUUCCGCAAUGGGCGAAAGUCUGACGGAGCAACGCCGCGUGAGUGAUGAAGGCUUUCGGGUCGUAUAACUCUGUUGUUAGGGAAGAACAAGUGCUAGUUGAAUAAGCUGGCACCUUGACGGUACCUAACCAGAAAGCCACGGCUAACUACGUGCCAGCCGCCGCGGUAA
rnacentral:rRNA from 1 species